CAACAGAACUGUGUUGUCUUACACUUCGGACUCCCAUGUGCCAGCAGAGUGGACUUCUUCUGAGCACCAGAGGAAGAGGCUGUUCCAGAUUGUUCUCCUGGCUUCUAGUAGCCUCAGACUUGCAGAUGGCAUUUCCUGUGCCUUCACACCUCCGCUGUCGAUGUGUCUGUGUCCAAAUUUCCUGUUUACCUAGGAACGGCGGUCACAUCAGAUCGGAGCCCACCCCAAUAACCUCAGCCUGACUUGAUCGUCUCUGAAAAGCCCGUUUCUAAAGACGGUCACAUCUGCAGGUGAGAAGACUGAGGUCCAAGGAUGCCCAGGCAUUAGGUACGCUGUCCCCCAGCUCCUGGUUCAUCCCUCACCUUACCCAAAACCUGGGAUCUGGCAAGAAAGGAAACCCUUCUAUGAGCCAGAACCCUCUGCCGGGUUCUGUCAGCAGAUCUUGCCACCUGUACAGCGACAGUCUGGCCCACCUGCUCACUGCCUCCAGUAUACCCACUCGUUCCCAUGAUGCACCUGCAUCUCAUCCGGACCCGGGAAGGCGGAAGACAGCAUGAGGAAGCUGAACUCCAAGAAGAGGAGCCACCCUGUGUGUAUAUUCGAUUAGGGCACCACCCCCUGGGGACUGCUGGACACACAGCCUUUUUGCUCCCUGAAGAUCCCUUCUCUCGCCUUCUCCCACCAUGGGCAUCCCUCUGACCCUCUCAUGGGGAGCUUUUCUCCUCGUGGGAUCACCUCCAUGCACACUCGCAUGUAUUCUCACUCCAAAUAAGUCACACUCUCAUUUCUGCUUGUUAUUUAUGCCUUAUCUUAUUCAAAUCCUUAUCUCACGCAGGGGCGGGAACUUGGAAUAAAAACUGGGAUACAUAUUCCCACAACAAUUUUGUCGACUUCUUCCAGUAAUUCUGUUGAGAUAAGGGCUAGCAUGACACAGAUCCUCCAAAAAGAGAAAGCCGAGGGUCCAUGAGGUAAGUGCUUUGCUUGCCAGGGGCAGAGGUAGGAUGGGAGCUCCAGGCGGACGGAGCCUCCUGGGGGUUGGGUUUUCUUUCAGUGAGAGUAAGUUCCAUGGAGGGCAUCGCAUCUCCCUAACACUGCCUGGUCAAGGAAACUGAGAUUUGUCCCUGUGCGAAGACCUCUGGCAGUCAGGGGAAAAGUGUUGAUUGGGAGCUGGCCUGUGUUCACCAGGCUCUGUCCUCUUGCUUCAUAUUCCCAAUCUUUCCUCUACCUGUGGGCAUUGGUAAAAUAUAGAAACGUGGUCACUAAAGAGCUUCAGGAAUUAGGAUGCCAAAUAAAACUGAAAGAGCCGUGGAGACCAAUGGGGACUGUCCCAUCAGGGUGAUUGUGACCAAAGCAGCUAAGAGAAUGAGAAACACCAUGCCAAGUGCCAACAGUCAGGCUGGGAAAAUAAGUGCCGUAGGAGCUCCCUGUAGGUGGAUGGGGCCGAAGGGGAGCCAGGGUAAUUGAUGGGCCACUGUGACUUCCUAGGUGGACAAUGGGCAAAGCAACCCCAAGGUUGAUCCACCGUUCAACACGCAGACAAGGUUGGAGAAGCAGAAUCUGAGGUUCCCGUAGCCCAGAAGGUUUUCCUGGAAAGUAGUUGCUUGUGUUGAUCAAUGUGAGAAGCUGGGUCCAUGAUGCUUGUCCAGGAAGUGGAGCUGUUUCCUGCAAGGUGGCACCUAGGUGUGCAUGUAUAGCAGCCCUCAUAGGGAACCCAGAGGAGGAACUUGGUUUUGAGGAAGACGCUCUUCGCCAACUUUAGCCAUUUCCAUUGUUGAAUAUCAUGUGUGACAUUGUGAAAUACCUAUUUGGUAUUCAUCCCCAUUCCUGGCAUGUAACUCCUAAAAUCCUUGGAAUUUCUAUGUAUGCUAAUGAGUUAAUGAAUGGCUGGGGUCUCCAAGACAGCUGCAGAAUGGGACUGGUUACAUGAUGACCAAGGGGAAUCAGAGACUUGAGGCUUUCAGCCCUGGUGAUGCAAGCCUAACUGUUUUCAUCAUUAAUCUGGGUUCUUUCCCCCACAGGGAUAAGAAUUCAAACCAGAAGUACAUAUAGAGCGUAAAAGGGAGAGCAGGAUGUUAUAAAAAGUGGGAGAGUGAACAUCCAUUCACACGUGAGCAUGGACCACCCCACAUGGAGAAAUACCCACCAUAAGUGGGCCAAAGGGUUACAUAUGAGGAGAGAGAGGCAGAGAGGACCAAGGGAGGUCCCUCAAGCAUGGUCAAGGGAAGGCCUCCCCCUGGCUAUCAUCAUGGUAGAGGGUGUUGGCUUAGUUGAACAAACAAAGAGGGUGGGGUCUUAGCAUGCACAAAGCAUUCUGAGACUUUUUUUUUUUUUUAAAGGUAGAGUUAUAGACAGUGAAAGAGAGAGACAAAGAGAAAGGUCUUCCUUCCGUUGGUUCACUCCCCAAAUGGCCUCUACAGCUGGCGCUGCAGCGAUCAAAAGCCAGGAGCCAGGAGCUUCUUCCUGGUCUCCCACCCAGGUGCAGGGGCCCAAGCACUUGGGCCAUCCUCGCUGCCUUUCCAGGCCACAGCAGAGAGCUGGACUGGAAGAGGAGCAACCGGGACUGGAACCCGGUGCCCAUAUCGGAUGCUGACGCCACAGGCGGAGGAUUACCCUAGUAAGCCACGGCGCCAGCCCCCAUUCUGGGACUUUUAAGGCACUUCCACGUGGAGUUUGACUUCCAUGUGGCCCUCCCUGGUCCCAGAUGAGAUACAGGUGUGUUCUGAGAAGGUGGGCAUAUUAGAUUGACAAGUGAUGGGAUGCAGUUACAAUGCAAGGAUGGCAAAAAUUCCAGAUCACCUAUGUCUAUCUAACUUCCUGCCUAGUUUCCCCGUAUCACCAGCCGCCAACCUCCAGGGAAGGAGCUAAAAGAAGUUGAUCACCAGUGGCCAAUGGUUUAAUCAAUCAGCCCUGUGCAACGAAGCCUCCAAAAGGACAGCAUUUGGAGAACGUAUGGGUAACUAAACACACGGAGGACCCUGGAUGGUGGCACAUCCAGAAAACACAAGGGGACUCUGUACCCAUUCCCGGCUGCCUUGCCCUAUGCCUCUUUUCAUCUAUACCCUGAGCUCCAUGAGCUAUUGUAGCAAAUCAAACUCAAGGAGAGGGUUCUGGGAUCCCUAGUUUAGAUCCCAUUGGUUAGAAGCACAGAAAACAACCUGGACUUGCAAAUGGCAUCUGAAGGCAAAUGGGGAGGGGGAGGGGAGGGCAGUCUUGGGAUGAGCCCUCAACCCAUGGGAUCCACUGUCCAGGUGGAUGGUGGCAGCACAAAAUUGAAUUAGAGGAACAUUGAGCAUUGCUUGCUUGCUACAUAGGGGAAAUAGCCUGCACCCUAAUGGCAGAAGCCUGUUGGAUAGGAGUAUAGGAGAAACUGAUUUGAAGUUUGCUUUUCCUAUUUAAGUGCAAAAGUCAUGACUUGAAAGUUGUGGAAUCCGUCCAACAUUCCUGGGCCUUUCUGAAGUACAGGCCAAGUGGAAUGGGAACAGAGCCUCCAGGAGUUCUCAGCUGCAGUUCCCAAAGGGAGACUGUUGGCGCUUUGCAAUUGGUGAGGCAGGGCCAGUGAGCAUUCCCAGCAGGGACAAUGCUGCCGCUUCCCUGGGGACGAGUCCAUCACUGUCAAGGCUGGACUAAUACGUAAUGAUGAGGAGGGGUUAACAUUCUAAUGGGUCACUGAGUAUUGCUGAAAUGCUGAGCUAACCUGGGGCAGGGAGGCUGGGAGGCACGCAGCACAGCACAAGGGUUUGGACUGAACACCUGCUCCAUGCCCGCUCACCACUGGGCAGUGAGGGGCUGCUUCAGAUCUCCUGUGCAUUGGUAAGGCUCAUGUCCUGCCUUUCGUGCUGUCGUGAGUAGAGACUCAAGAGCCAAGGCAGAGACAGACUGAUCAUAUAUUUGAGAGAAAAGCCUCAUUUUCCUGUAUUGUCUGCUCUAGGCCAUGCACACAGGCCCCAUCUGAAUGUAAAAGAGACAAUGUAUUUCUAAGAAAAAUUAGUCCCUCAGGAAAUUCAUUGAAAGAGACACAGAGAACAGUUUAGCUUUGCUCUUGCAUUUCUGAUUGUUUUAUUCCCUUUAGUGCAGUACUACGAAGUAGGGUCAAACAGAGGUGAUCACAGUCAUUAAUAUAUGUUAGCAAGUAUUCUAGUUCCCUCUCCUAGUCCCGUCUCCGGAAGAAGCCCCUGGUAUGUCUCCUGAAGGUUCAUAGUAAGAGGAAGCGAGGCCUCUUGCCCAUGCCCAUGUGAGUGUAUCACCUGGAAACGGGUCCCCAACACAGGCUGAGGUCUUGUGUUGCACUGUGGCAUAGCGAGUAAAGCCGCUGCCUGUAGUUCUGGCAUCCCAUAUGGGUGCUAGUUCAAGUCCCGGCUGCUCCACUUCUGAUCCAGCUCUCUGCUAUGGCCUGGGAAGGCAGUAGAAGAUGGCCCAAGUUCUUGGGCCCCUGCACCCAUGUGGGAGACUCGGAAGAAGCUCCUGGCUCCUGGCUUCAGAGCAGCGCAGCUCCAGCCGUUGCAGCCAAUUGAGGAGCGAAGUAGCAGAUGGAAGACCUCUCUCUCUCUCUCUCUGUCUCUCCUUCUCUCUCUGUGUAACUCUGACUUUCAAAUAAAUAAAUAAACCUUAAAAAAAAACACUUCUAGUGGAGCUGUCAUUGCACACUACUUUUCUCAUGGAAGUCUUUGGAACUCUGUGCCCUGCAGUUUCCAAAGUCAAACCAAACAAAGAGCAGACACUAACAGAAAGCAAUGGACUGGCUGGGUAAUUACAGCCUUAAGAUAAAACCUUUAACACCUUUCCCAGCCAAAUUUGUGAUCCUACAUCCUUCCUUUAUGGAAGUCCUAGAACUGCCAUCAGUCACUUCGAAAACCAGGCUUUCUAAAUAGGAGACCAUAUCUCUAAACCUUUCCCUUUAUCUCAGUAGGAGGAAAUUGCUUAAAUGCAGUGGAUGCUGUGGGCCCUGAAAAGAUUAUCUUAUAGGACAAAGAAAUUACAUCAUUUCUAUUUUUAUUUUUAUCACUUGUUAAGCCCCAGUAAAAUGUAGAAUACUUUUUUCAAGAAAAUCCCAAGUCUCAGGAAAUGCCUGCGGUAAGCUCAGGACCAGAGCUACAGGAGACCAAAGCAAGCACUAACUUAACGCUGACCCUCUAGGAAACGAACAUGGAGUUAGAGAGACAAGACAUGCCUGGGGCUGGCACUGUGGCACAGUAAGUUAAGCAACCCCCUCAGCACUGGCAUCCCAUAUGAGCACCGGGUCAAGUCCCGGCUGCUCCUUUUCUGAUCCAGCUCUCUCCUAAUGGCCUGGGAAAACAGUGGAAGAUGGCCCAAGUGCACCUGUGUGGGAGACCCAGAAGAAGCUCCUGGCUUUAAAUCAGCUCAGCUGUGGUCAUUGCAGUUAAUUGGGGAGUGAAGUAGCUAAUGGGAGACCUUUCUCUCUCUGUCUCGCCCUCUCUCUGUAACUCUACAUCUCAAAUAAAUAAAUAAAAUUUUAAACAACAACAACAACAAAAGACAUGCCUGAAAUCAACUGGGGGAAAAAAAAAACGAAAUUUAAGUGGUGAUAGUGUUGGAGGGAAGAAAAAAACAAUUUCUCUCUACUCUUUACUGGUCUUAGCUAAGGCAGCCUGCUACAAGCAAAAACAGAUUAACAAGGGAAAAACAAACACUCGCUCGCUGACCUGUGUAUCUUAUGUAUACAUGGGAGGUAUCCAGGGAAAAUGAGCAUAUCUCAAAAAGAAUGCUUUGAAUUUAGGCUUCAAUACUAUCUUCAGUUGAAACAAACAAACAAAAAAAGAUGUAUUGGUCUGCUUCCUGUAGCAAUACCAGAACACCUCAUGCUGGGUAAUAUAUAAAGAAAUGGUUUUAUCUGGUUAAUGAUUCUGGUGGCUCAAGGGUCCAACCAGCAGGUUGCCAGUGGCCUGGGGAAGGCUCCCUGGCUGGGUCAUAAUUAUCUCCAAUGAGACUCCCACUUCUCAAAGACCCCACCACCCUUCCACACCACUACAUUAGAGCCCAAGCUUCCAGCACAUGAACAUUUUGGGGGUGUCGGGAUACACAUCACAUCCGAACCCCCCCAAUAGCAGAAGCAUAUUAUGGAGGGCCCUAAUGGGGAUUUGACCAGGAAAAGCAUAAUAGACAAGAGUCAGGCUUGAUAAAUGGAUUUAAUUGAGUGCUACUCCAUCGGUAAAUCUCUUAGAAAUAAGAAUCAAGAAUCACCCUCUUUCUGGUAUGAAGAGGAAAACACACUUGGAGAUUUCUGGGGUCAGUGUUGUGACAUAACAGGUUAAGCUGCCACCUACAACACCGUACUCCCGUAUGGGUGCCAGUUGAAUCCCAGCUAUUAUACUUCGGAUCCAGAUCCUUGCUAAUGCACCUGGGAAAAGCAUCAGAAGACGGCCCACGUCCUUGGGCCACUGCAGCCAUGUGGGGGACCCAGAUGAGGUUCCUGGUUCCUGGCUU